AAAUCAUUCGGGUAAUUUACUGAAUUUCGUAAAAGGGCAACAGCGCUUUCCAGUUGUCACGAAAGUUCGUCUGCAUUCUGCAGUAUGAAAAACAAGGUGGAAAUAUUUUUACCAAAGUGAGGCUGAGGCUACAGGUGUCCCUUAACAACGUGGUUGAAAACUUGAAACAAAGCCACGAUACGUGUAGGAUUUAUUCCGUGACAAAGUAGUCAAAUCAAGAAUGUUUGAAACAGCCCAUGUGCCCAGAUCACAUUGAUGCAUGAAGAACAUGGAGUGUUUCACCCUCGUCAGAUUUUUCAAUGUACUUGCUAAACCGAAAUGAGUGCUGCAAGAAAACUUUGUUCUGUGUGUUUUUAUUGUACUGAAACCACUCCAACACUUUGCUACAAUGCAAUUGCCUCAAGUCUAAGCUUUUCUAGUGCAGUGUGCUGUUGAAGUUACCUCUUCUCGUGAAGUAUUCCAGCGAUGUAGAACAAGUAAGUGAACAUAGACAUUCAGUUACAGCAACAUCUACCUACGUGAACUGCCAGACACAAAGUUUGCCUUAACUAAAGGAAUUCUACAUGGGAACUGGCAUGGAUUACAGUUCCACAUCAGGCAACAAAGUAUCAGUGUUGAAGGAAAGCCAGUGAUAAGAACGUCUGAAAAGAAGUGCGGAAUCGACGAAAGGGCAUCCAGAUUUUGCUUUUACGUGUUCAAGGAUCAACGGAGAAGAAAGUUGAGAUUGAUAUUUCUUAAUUUUCAUUCAACAUCUUCUAUGCAGCCAAUCUCUUACAACGUGAAAAACAAGAUUAUUGAACUCUGGAAUCUUUAGGUCACGACCGACAGCGCGAAUGCAGGUUCAUUUCAAAACGCAUCUUUGCCGAAAAAACUGAAAUCCUGGAAGAAAUUGGCUUUGGUAAUGAAACUCUUGCCAAGGAGGAAAAUAAUACGUGACAAUACUCGAGCCCCCAUCAAAUGAACUGUUGCUAUGGUUUUGGCCAAGACGGAAUUUGAAAAGCCCCUUUAACACCACAAGCUGUACUAUCUGAGGCAGGUGACUACCACGAUAUAGUUGGCAAACGAGUAUAAGGCAAAGCAUUUCAAUUAAGAACAUAUCCUGCGCAACGAUUAAAAUCUUUGUGA